rnacentral:rRNA from 1 species
UACGUAGGGGGCGAGCGUUGUCCGGAAUCAUUGGGCUUAAAGCGCGUGUAGGCGGCCCGGUAAGUCCGCUGUGAAAGUCCAGGGCUCAACCCUGGGAUGCCGGUGGAUACUGUCGGGCUCGAGUCCGGAAGAGGCGAGUGGAAUUCCUGGUGUAGCGGUGAAAUGCGCAGAUAUCAGGAGGAACACCAAUGGCGAAGGCAGCUCGCUGGGACGUGACUGACGCUGAGACGCGAAAGCGUGGGGAGCGAACAGG